AGCGAUCAAAUAACAUAAAGAAGAAAAACGCAGUCUUCUUCUUCUUCUCCGAGUGUAACCGAUCGCAGAUCGCCGGUCUUCAGAAAUCCUAUCAGUUUUCCGCCGCCGGCAUCGUUUAAAGAACAAGAAGAUGAUUGAUGAUCAGGACUUGGGCUUCUUUGCCAAUUUUCUCGGGAUCUUUAUAUUUGUGCUCGUGAUUGCUUACCAUUACGUGAUGGCUGAUCCAAAUUACGGAGGCAACUGAAUAUUCUCUACAGACGAGCAAUGUGAUGUCUUUCAAGCCCAAAAAAUGUGACUUUUAUCUGAUGCUAUUGUUAGACUCUUUUGAUUAUACUCUAAUGGUGUUGCAGACUUCUUAGAGUCUUUUUGUAGUUUUAUCUGGAUAAUCACCAUACCUUGCUAUUUAGUUCCAUUUUGUCUUGUUUUAAAUAACCCCUUAAACCAUUUAUCUUUAAAUCUUUAUAUUUUUUC